UACGUAGGGGUGCAAGCGUUAAUCGGAAUUACUGGGCGUAAAGCGUGCGCAGGCGGUUGGGCAAGACAGAUGUGAAAUCCCCGGGCUUAACCUGGGAACUGCAUUUGUGACUGCCCGGCUAGAGUGUGUCAGAGGGGGGUAGAAUUCCACGUGUAGCAGUGAAAUGCGUAGAUAUGUGGAGGAAUACCGAUGGCGAAGGCAGCCCCCCUGGGAUAACACUGACGCUCAUGCACGAAAGCGUGGGGAGCAAACAGG
rnacentral:rRNA from 1 species